rnacentral:rRNA from 1 species
GCUCGAUGAGUAGGGCGGGACACGUGGUAUCCUGUCUGAAUAUGGGGGGACCAUCCUCCAAGGCUAAAUACUCCUGACUGACCGAUAGUGAACCAGUACCGUGAGGGAAAGGCGAAAAGAACCCCGGCGAGGGGAGUGAAAAAGAACCUGAAACCGUGUACGUACAAGCAGUGGGAGCACAGGUUUACCUGUGUGACUGCGUACCUUUUGUAUAAUGGGUCAGCGACUUAUAUUCUGUAGCAAGGUUAACCGUAUAGGGGAGCCGGAGGGAAACCGAGUCUUAAUUGGGCGUUAAGUUGCAGGGUAUAGACCCGAAACCCGGUGAUCUAGCCAUGGGCAGGUUGAAGGUUGGGUAACACUAACUGGAGGACCGAACCGACUAAUGUUGAAAAAUUAGCGGAUGACCUGUGGCUGGGGGUGAAAGGCCAAUCAAACCGGGAGAUAGCUGGUUCUCCCCGAAAGCUAUUUAGGUAGCGCCUCGUGAAUUCAUCUCCGGGGGUAGAGCACUGUUUCGGCUAGGGGGCCAUCCCGGCUUACCAACCCGAUGCAAACUGCGAAUACCGGAGAAUGUUAUCACGGGAGACACACGGCGGGUGCUAACGUCCGUCGUGAAGAGGGAAACAACCCAGACCGCCAGCUAAGGUCCCAAAGUCAUGGUUAAGUGGGAAACGAUGUGGGAAGGCCCAGACAGCCAGGAUGUUGGCUUAGAAGCAGCCAUCAUUUAAAGAAAGCGUAAUAGCUCACUGGUCGAGUCGGCCUGCGCGGAAGAUGUAACGGGGCUAAACCAU